CGCAGACUCGCUGUACGGCAAUUUAGUAAAGACUGCGCGCAGUUUGCAAAACAUGCUAAUUGUUUUGCCAAAUUUCCUCAACGAAAUAAACUUCCCUUUUCAAAGUGGAAACACGGUUUCUUGCCACGUUCUCAGUUCUGAAUUAAUUUGUAAACAUAGAAAGUUGACACUGGCUCCAAAAUUCAAAUUAUUUCCACAUUUUUUUCGUAUUUUUCAUGUUAUGAAUUCAAUAAUUACUCUCUAAAGAUGGUAAAUAAAAAUGUUUUGGCCUAUUCGGCCGCCACUUUUGGUUCGAGCAUGAUAAAUUCAAUUUUUGGAUUUUUUUACGUCAAGACGUUCUUAAAUAUUUACAA